UACGUAGGGGGCAAGCGUUGUCCGGAAUUAUUGGGCGUAAAGAGCUCGUAGGCGGCUUGUCACGUCGGGUGUGAAAUCUCAGGGCUCAACUCUGAGUCUGCUGGGGAAACUGCCGGGCUUGAGUGUGGGAGAGGAGAAUGGAAUUCCUGGUGUAGCGGUGAAAUGCGCAGAUAUCAGGAGGAACACCGGUGGCGAAGGCGGUUCUCUAGGCCUUACCUGACGCUGAGGAGCGAAAGCAUGGGGAGCAAACAGG
rnacentral:rRNA from 1 species